GAUAACCUACCUAUAAGACUGGGAUAACUUCGGGAAACCGGAGCUAAUACCGGAUAAUAUUUUGAACCGCAUGGUUCAAAAGUGAAAGACGGUCUUGCUGUCACUUAUAGAUGGAUCCGCGCUGCAUUAGCUAGUUGGUAAGGUAACGGCUUACCAAGGCAACGAUGCAUAGCCGACCUGAGAGGGUGAUCGGCCACACUGGAACUGAGACACGGUCCAGACUCCUACGGGAGGCAGCAGUAGGGAAUCUUCCGCAAUGGGCGAAAGCCUGACGGAGCAACGCCGCGUGAGUGAUGAAGGUCUUCGGAUCGUAAAACUCUGUUAUUAGGGAAGAACAUAUGUGUAAGUAACUGUGCACAUCUUGACGGUGGGUAAUCAGAAAGCCACGGCUAACUACGUGCCAGCAGCCGCGGUAAUACGUAGGUGGCAAGCGUUAUCCGGAAUUAUUGGGCGUAAAGCGCGCGUAGGCGGUUUUUUAAGUCUGAUGUGAAAGCCCACGGCUCAACCGUGGAGGGUCAUUGGAAACUGGAAAACUUGAGUGCAGAAGAGGAAAGUGGAAUUCCAUGUGUAGCGGUGAAAUGCGCAGAGAUAUGGAGGAACACCAGUGGCGAAGGCGACGGGCUGGUCUGUAACUGACGCUGAUGUGCGAAAGCGUGGGGAUCAAACAGGAUUAGAUACCCUGGUAGUCCACGCCGUAAACGAUGAGUGCUAAGUGUUAGGGGGUUUCCGCCCCUUAGUGCUGCAGCUAACGCAUUGGGCACUCCGCCUGGGGAGUACGACCGCAAGGUUGAAACUCAAAGGAAUUGACGGGGACCCGCACAAGCGGUGGAGCAUGUGGUUUAAUUCGAAGCAACGCGAAGAACCUUACCAAAUCUUGACAUCCUUUGACAACUCUAGAGAUAGAGCUUUCCCCUUCGGGGGACAAAGUGACAGGUGGUGCAUGGUUGUCGUCAGCUCGUGUCGUGAGAUGUUGGGUUAAGUCCCGCAACGAGCGCAACCCUUAAGCUUAGUUGCCAUCAUUAAGUUGGGCACUCUAAGUUGACUGCCGGUGACAAACCGGAGGAAGGUGGGGAUGACGUCAAAUCAUCAUGCCCCUUAUGAUUUGGGCUACACACGUGCUACAAUGGACAAUACAAAGGGCAGCGAAACCGCGAGGUCAAGCAAAUCCCAUAAAGUUGUUCUCAGUUCGGAUUGUAGUCUGCAACUCGACUACAUGAAGCUGGAAUCGCUAGUAAUCGUAGAUCAGCAUGCUACGGUGAAUACGUUCCCGGGUCUUGUACACACCGCCCGUCACACCACGAGAGUUUGUA
rnacentral:rRNA from 1 species